GUUCAACGGCCGCGGUAUCCUAACCGUGCGAAGGUAGCGUAAUCACUUGUUCUUUAAAUGUGGACUAGUAUGAACGGCUUCACGAAGGUUAUACUGUCUCCUUUUUCUAAUCAGUGAAACUAAUUUCCCCGUGAAGAAGCGGGGAUAAAGCUAUAAGACGAGAAGACCCUAUGGAGCUUAAAACGACACAGCACUUACCAAAAAUUUUUAAUGUUUCUGUAACACUAAUUCUUUAAAGUAAAAUGACUGCAAGUUUUCGGUUGGGGUGACCACGGAGUAUAUCAUAACCUCCAUGUUGAAAGAAUUUCUUUCUAAGCCAAGAAUAACCAAUCUAAGCAUUAAUAAAUUAACAUCUAUUGACCCAAUAAAUUUGAUCAACGAACCAAGUUACCCUAGGGAUAACAGCGCAAUCCACUUCAAGAGCUCCUAUCGACAAGUGGGUUUACGACCUCGAUGUUGGAUCAGGGUAUCCCAGUGGUGCAGCCGCUACUAAAGGUUCGUUUGUUCAACGAUUAAAACCCUACGUGAUCUGAGUUUCAGAC
rnacentral:rRNA from 1 species